CACUGCUGGAAUUGACUGAUACGUAAUUAACAAUCGCCAUUUUGAUUGGUUGUUAUUUUUGUGCAUCCCAAUCACUGUCUACUUUUUAUUGACUUCAGUAACAGGCUUACCCUGCGAGCAAAGUCCUCUCGUAUUUCUUCUCAGCACGAGAGAGACUCUGCAGAACUUGUGUAUAUUCUUUGUGGAGCCGACAAUCCAAAAACGUGGAUAAUUAUGAGUAAUUUCAGGUUUGAUACCAGUUUUAUAACCGGUUUUGAUCGGAACAGGAAAUUACUUAUUAAAUCUUCUUCUGGGAAAUAGGCAGUUGCUUAGCAACCUUCGCGCAUGCUCAAAUGAAUUUAUACACAAGUUCUGCAGAAUCUCUCUCGCUUCUCCGUGCUGUGCCGAGAAGAAAUACGAGAGGACUUUGCUCACAGGGUAUAACAGGCUCUAUUUCAAGCAUCGAGCCUGACACGCAAGCUACCUUCAAAGGGCCUAUUUGGCAACUUCUGUUGUGGUUACCCAGCCUGAGGCAAAAGUAAUAAAUUAUGAAUUGUUAUAAAUGUUCUGUGAAGUGCAC
rnacentral:lncRNA from 1 species